rnacentral:lncRNA from 1 species
UAGGAAAGGAGUAAAACAAUAUGACACAUCCUCAAUUUUGAGGAUCUUACAUUGUGCCUGCAACACGAGUGUUUAUAUGAGUCUUUUUGUCAUCAUAAAGUUUUGCCAACCCAAAAUCUGAAAUUUUUGGGUUUAGGUCUGAAUCAAGCAGAAUAUUACUGGCCUUGACAUCUCGAUGGACAACACGAACCCGAGAUUCCUCAUGAAGAUACGCCAAAAAUCUGAAAUUUUAGGGUUUAGGUCUGAAUCAAGCAGAAUAUUACUGGCCUUGACAUCUCGAUGGACAACACGAACCCGAGAUUCCUCGUGAAGAUACGCCAGACCCUUUGCCACUCCCAAGCAUAUCUGGAAGCGUAUUGGCCAGUCAAGAUAUAAAGAUC